UACGAAGGGGGCUAGCGUUGCUCGGAAUCACUGGGCGUAAAGGGUGCGUAGGCGGGUUUUUAAGUCAGGGGUGAAAUCCUGGAGCUCAACUCCAGAACUGCCUUCGAUACUGGCGAUCUUGAGUCCGGAAGAGGUGAGUGGAACUCCUAGUGUAGAGGUGGAAUUCGUAGAUAUUAGGAAGAACACCAGUGGCGAAGGCGGCUCACUGGUCCGGUACUGACGCUGAGGUGCGGAAAGCGUGGGGAGCAAACAGGGAU
rnacentral:rRNA from 1 species